GCUUGGUCCUUGGCCUGAUCCUGCACCUAGCCCAUCUUUCUGGCCCUUUCAGGAAUUCCUGCCAGGGCUUACACUCCCAAGAGAUACGUUGGGCCCAUCUAAAGCUGGGACCAUACUUCCUCCCCACCAUUGAGGACAAUAAAACCCCAGAGACACAUGGAUCCCCAGACCAAGAUAAAUACAGAGAUUACAUGAAACACAGACUCAUCAGAUAACAGAGAAAUAUGUUGAU